UAAAAACCCCGACUUCGGAAGGGGUGUAUUCAUUAGAUACAAAACCAAUGCCCUUCGGGGCUCUUUGGUGAUUCAUGAUAACUAUACGAAUCGCACGGCCUUGCGCCGGCGAUGGUUCAUUCAAAUUUCUUCCCUAUCAACUUUCGAUGUUUGGGUAUUGGCCAAACAUGGUUGCAACGGGUAACGGAGGGUUAGGGCUCGACCCCGGAGAAGGAGCCUGAGAAACGGCUACUACAUCCAAGGAAGGCAGCAGGCGCGCAAAUUACCCAAUCCCGACUCGGGGAGGUAGUGACAAUAAAUACUGAUACAGGGCCCUUUCGGGCCUUGUAAUUGGAAUGAGUACAAUUUAAAUCCCUUAACGAGGAACAAUUGGAGGGCAAGUCUGGUGCCAGCAGCCGCGGUAAUUCCAGCUCCAAUAGCGUAUAUUAAAGUUGUUGUGGUUAAAAAGCUCGUAGUUGAACCUUGGGCCUGGCUGGCCGGUCCGCCUCACCGCGUGCACUGGUCCGGCCGGGCCUUUCCCUCUGUGGAACCCCAUACCCUUCACUGGGCGUGGCGGGGAAACAGGACAUUUACUUU
rnacentral:rRNA from 1 species